CCUAUUUGUUAAUAAGCGUGCCAUUUUGUUCAGCCAGUUCUAAUUGCAAGCCAAUCCAAGAGCAUUCUGAAGACGCCAUAACCCUGCACGUACUCAUAACCGAACCAGAUGCAAUUAACUUCCAUUUUCCACUAUAUGUUAACCAAACCAUGCCAAUCACUGAAAGAAAAUCCAAAAUAGAAAUAAAGCCCCUCAGUAGUUUAACCAUCAUUCAGCAUAAUCCCAAAUAUCCAAUUUCACAUUUGAAUCAAAUCAGCGCUGCAACUUACCGCACAGAUAGAGCGAGAAUCCGUGAGUUUUCAUCAUUAUGA